GAAGAAUGCUGCUCAGCUGGGUCGGCGUCGGCCACACAACUUAUUCAAGAAGCCCUUGGAUAUCAUCGGCAUGUAUGAAGCACAGUCAUUCCGGUAGUCCGUUCCUCGAUGGACGUGAUGACCUGGCACCAAAACCGCUUAAUGUGUACGGAGCUGUGUCUGCAUCGAGGGAAGAACGCGGCACUGAAAUGACACAAAUGAAAGAAGAUUACUUCUGCUCUGCUGGGUCUGUGACACUAUUUAUCCGAGGAGUCCUCAAACAUCAGGAUGUAGGAAGACACAAGUAAAAGGAGAAGAAUGCUGCUCAGCUGGGUCGGCGGCCACACUACUUAUUCAAGAAGCUCUUGGAUAUCAUCAGCAUGUAUGAAACUUGUGGUGAGAUGCCAAGAGCUGCCAUGAGGGAUAUGCAACCUGCAGCUUCACCGUGCUUUUGGGAGGUCAUCUACUACAUGAACCUUAAUAUCUACAAGCCAGCUACUUUAAAUCCUUGAAAGGGUAGUGAUGUCAA